rnacentral:rRNA from 1 species
CCUACGGGCGGCAGCAGUGGGGAAUAUUGCACAAUGAGGGAAACCCUGAUGCAGCGACGCCGCGUGAGCGAUGAAGUAUUUCGGUAUGUAAAGCUCUAUCAGCAGGGAAGAAGAUGUCGGUACCUGACUAAUUACCCCCGGCCAAAUACGUGCCAGCCGCCGCGGUCAUACGUAGUGGGCAAGCGUUCUCCGGUUUUACUGGGUGUAACGGUAGCGUAGACGGCGAUGCAAGCCAGAUGUGAAAGCCCGGGGCUCAAACCCGGGACUGCAUUUGGUACUAGGAGGCUGGAGUGUCGGAGAGGCAGGCGGAAUUCCUAGUGUAGCGGUGAAAUGCGUAGAUAUUAGGAGGAACACCAGAGGCGAAGGCGGCCUGCUGGACGAUGACUGACGUUGAGGCUCGAAAGCGUGGGGAGCAAACAGGAUUAGAUACCCGUGUAGUC